rnacentral:rRNA from 1 species
UUUAUUUAAAGUCUGGUCUGCUCACUGAUGAAUUAAAGAGCCGCAGUAUUUUGACUGUGCGAAGGUAGCAUAAUAAUUAGUUUCUUGAUUGGGAACUGGUAUGAAUGGUUGGACGAGAAAAGUUCUGUCUCUUUCUAAUUUUGUUGAAUUUUACUUUUAAGUUAAAAGGCUUAAAUUUUGUUAAAAGACGAGAAGACCCUAUAGAGUUUUAUUAUUUAAUUUUUAUUGAGUUUUGGUAAUAGAAUUCUUAAAAUGUAAAAUAAUUUGGUUGGGGUGAUCGGAAAAUUUAUUUAACUUUUCUUUUAUUUUUACAUUUAUUUAUGAUUAAUUGAUCCGUUAUUUACGAUUAUAAGAUUAAAUUACCUUAGGGAUAACAGCGUAAUUUUUCUUGAGAGUUCUUAUCGAAAGAAGAGUUUGCG